rnacentral:rRNA from 1 species
CCUACGGGGGGCAGCAGUGGGGAAUAUUGCACAAUGGGCGCAAGCCUGAUGCAGCCAUGCCGCGUGUGUGAAGAAGGCCUUCGGGUUGUAAAGCACUUUCAGCGGGGAGGAAGGCGGUGAGGUUAAUAACCUCAUCGAUUGACGUUACCCGCAGAAGGAGCACCGGCUAACUCCGUGCCAGCAGCCGCGGUAAUACGGAGGGUGCAAGCGUUAAUCGGAAUUACUGGGCGUAAAGCGCACGCAGGCGGUCUGUCAAGUCGGAUGUGAAAUCCCCGGGCUCAACCUGGGAACUGCAUUCGAAACUGGCAGGCUAGAGUCUUGUAGAGGGGGGUAGAAUUCCAGGUGUAGCGGUGAAAUGCGUAGAGAUCUGGAGGAAUACCGGUGGCGAAGGCGGCCCCCUGGACAAAGACUGACGCUCAGGCGCGAAAGCGUGGGGAGCAAACAGGAUUAGAUACCCUAGUAGUC